rnacentral:tRNA from 3 species
AGACAAUUAGUCCAAUGAAAGAUUUCUGAUUUCGACUCAGUAGAACAUGGUUCAACUCCAUGAUUGUCUU